rnacentral:rRNA from 1 species
AUCUAAGUACCCCGAGGAAAAGAAAUCAACCGAGAUUCCCCCAGUAGCGGCGAGCGAACGGGGAGGAGCCCAGAGCCUGAAUCAGCAUGUGUGUUAGUGGAAGCGUCUGGAAAGGCGCGCGAUACAGGGUGACAGCCCCGUACACAAAAGCGCAUGUGCUGUGAGCUCGAUGAGUAGGGCGGGACACGUGGUAUCCUGUCUGAAUAUGGGGGGACCAUCCUCCAAGGCUAAAUACUCCUGACUGACCGAUAGUGAACCAGUACCGUGAGGGAAAGGCGAAAAGAACCCCGGCGAGGGGAGUGAAAAAGAACCUGAAACCGUGUACGUACAAGCAGUGGGAGCACAGGUUUACCUGUGUGACUGCGUACCUUUUGUAUAAUGGGUCAGCGACUUAUAUUCUGUAGCAAGGUUAACCGUAUAGGGGAGCCGGAGGGAAACCGAGUCUUAACCGGGCGUUAAGUUGCAGGGUAUAGACCCGAAACCCGGUGAUCUAGCCAUGGGCAGGUUGAAGGUUGGGUAACACUAACUGGAGGACCGAACCGACUAAUGUUGAAAAAUUAGCGGAUGACCUGUGGCUGGGGGUGAAAGGCCAAUCAAACCGGGAGAUAGCUGGUUCUCCCCGAAAGCUAUUUAGGUAGCGCCUCGUGAAUUCAUCUCCGGGGGUAGAGCACUGUUUCGGCUAGGGGGCCAUCCCGGCUUACCAACCCGAUGCAAACUGCGAAUACCGGAGAAUGUUAUCACGGGAGACACACGGCGGGUGCUAACGUCCGUCGUGAAGAGGGAAACAACCCAGACCGCCAGCUAAGGUCCCAAAGUCAUGGUUAAGUGGGAAACGAUGUGGGAAGGCCCAGACAGCCAGGAUGUUGGCUUAGAAGCAGCCAUCAUUUAAAGAAAGCGUAAUAGCUCACUGGUCGAGUCGGCCUGCGCGGAAGAUGUAACGGGGCUAAACCAUGCACCGAAGCUGCGGCA